rnacentral:rRNA from 1 species
GUAGGGAAUAUUGGACAAUGGGGGGAACCCUGAUCCAGCCAUGCCGCGUGGAGGAAGACUGCCCUCUGGGUUGUAAACUCCUUUUAUAUGGGAAGAACCGUCCUCAUUAAUGAGUGACCUGACGGUACCAUAGGAAUAAGCACCGGCUAACUCCGUGCCAGCAGCCGCGGUAAUACGGAGGGUGCAAGCGUUAUCCGGAUUCACUGGGUUUAAAGGGUGCGUAGGCGGAUAAAUAAGUCAGUGGUGAAAUCAACGGGCUCAACCUGUUAACUGCCAUUGAUACUGUGUAUCUUGAAUAUGGGAGAGGUAGGCGGAAUGUUGCAUGUAGCGGUGAAAUGCUUAGAUAUGCUACGGAACACCGAUUGCGAAGGCAGCUUACUAUUUCGUAAUUGACGCUGAGGCACGAAAGCGUGGGUAGCGAACAGGAUUAGAAACCCUUGUAGUCC